AGUGGGGGUUAUGCACUGGUGUUCAGUGGAUCCUACUAGUAGGGGUUGUGCACUGGUGUUUAGUGGAUCCUGCCAGUAGGGGUUGUGCACUGGUAUUCAGUGGAUCCUGUUAAUGAGGGUUAAACAUUGGUCAUAGUCGAGGCUAUUGAGUUAUGAGUAUUUUGAUUCAAAUCAGAUUUAUGAUUAUAUUAUAUGUGAAUA
rnacentral:lncRNA from 1 species